rnacentral:rRNA from 1 species
UACAGAGGUCUCAAGCGUUGUUCGGAUUCAUUGGGCGUAAAGGGUGCGUAGGCGGCGCGGUAAGUCGGAUGUGAAAUCUCACGGCUCAACCCUGGAAUGCCGGUGGAAACUGUCGGGCUAGAGUCCGGAAGAGGCGAGUGGAAUUCCUGGUGUAGCGGUGAAAUGCGCAGAUAUCAGGAGGAACACCAAUGGCGAAGGCAGCUCGCUGGGACGGUACUGACGCUGAGACGCGAAGGCGUGGGGAGCAAACAGG